AGUAAUCACGGGUUAAGGAGAUGUGAGAGUGAUUAUGACCAUGAUGAUAAAAAAGAUAAGAAUAAAAAAAUAAAAAGAUAAAAAAAAUGACAAGAAGUGGAGGCAAAAAUAAUUUUAUUAAAAAAACAUUUUAUAGCUAACGGAUAAAAAGUCAAAACAAUAUUUUUUUUAGAAUUUGCUUUUUUUUUUUUUUUAAAUUUACCCCACUAUAAACCCCGUAGCUAUCGAGUCAAGCUUCUUUUUAGCUUUCCAAUCCUUAAAAAAAAAAAAAAAAAAAAAACAAACAAACAAACAAACUGAGUUCUCUUUCAUAAACCCACUCUCCAUGACGCUACCCACUUCCGUUGUGAAAUGAAGGCCAUGACCAUAGGGUGACAGGGAGGGAUCGCUGCGAAUCAGUAGGGAACCAUUCAUAGAUUUAUUACUUGUGGCCCAAGUGUGACGCCACAAAUAUGAAAGCCAUUCCCACAAACGUAUGGCAGGCGUCGUCGCAUCCGCUUUGCUUCGUAACGAAGCAUCGGGAACCCACGUGCUUUCCUUCGCACCAGCACCCACGUCCAUGUCGGAAAGCGCUGGCAUCCAACAAAACCAGCGGCCACAUCGGCGGUUUCACGAAACCACGCGUCGUCCCGAGGAAGCGUCCUCCCCUCUUAUAUCCACCCCUGCAGCGAAUCAAUUGCAGAGAGCGGAACGGUAGCCGCAGGUCGGGGAGGGAAGGGGAGAUCGGGUCUCUCGAAGCUCUUGGUAUGGGGCUGGUUUGGAAAACCCUCCCUCCACCUCCAUGUUGGUAGGAGUGCGGUGCUUUCCAAUACCUCCCAUGCCAAUGGUUUCCAGGCACCCCUCCCUUUCCCUCGCCGAGCCCUCCUCCUCCAUGAGAAGUGAUUCGGUGAGGGGAGGUGGGAGAGGAAGCACUGGCUCCCCGAAAGCCGUGGGGAUGGGGGCAUCUGCAAGUCCAUGCCUGCUCUUCCUGCUUCGGAUGCUGUCUGUUGGCGGGAAGAUGCAGGCGCUGGUUCUUGCCGAUUCCUCCCAUCCCUAUGGUUUCUGGCAGCUCCUUCCUCUCCCUUCCGCCUGUUGUGGCGCUCUCUUGUCACUCAGACCGUAUCCAUGGAGGCUCUGCUUUCACCUCCUUCUCCAGGAGAUAACGUGGAGGGCUCGCUGCUUCUGUUCGUGGAUGCUCUAUAUAUGGAUAUUGUUGCUGCUUUGAGUUUUAAGGGAUUCGAAUUGUGUGAAGAAACACACUUAAAUGUUCCAUUUCUUUGAUCUGAAUCACUUCGUUGUCAUGGUAGUUUUUUGGUUUAUCUUGGAGAAGCGUCAAGCGACACAUCGAUGACUGAGCAAUUGAGGCGAGUUAUGAAAUGAGCAACUCCAUUAAUGAGAUCGAAGCAUGGUUGGUCUCAGUCGAGCUUAAAGCUGAAUCCGGACUCGAGGGAGCGGAUACACGACAGCUUUACUGUUGCAAGGUCAAACGAGGCACUCUUCCCAACCGUACUCAACUGUCCAUUUUUGGGGUUUGAAAAUAUAUUUUUAUUUUUAGCGUGUGGUUAGGUUACGUUGGUUUAAGUGGAUGUGGAAUGUCUGAAUGUUCUGUAAUUAUUAUUUGGUAAAAUUAUAUUUUCAAAAUUUAUUAAA